UGCCAGCAGCCGCGGUAAUACGAGAGGCCCGAGCGUUAUUCGGAAUCACUGGGCUUAAAGGGUGCGUAGGCGGACUGCCAAGCAUCUCGUGAAAUCCCUCGGCUCAACCGAGGAAUUGCGGGGUGAACUGGUAGUCUUGAAGAAGGUAGAGGCGAUCGGAACGUUCGGUGGAGGGGUGAAAUCCGUAGAUAUCGAACGGAACGCCAAAGGAGAAGUCAGGUCGCUGGGCCUUUCUUGACGCUGAGGCACGAAAGCGUGGGGAUCAAACAGGAUUAGAUA
rnacentral:rRNA from 1 species